rnacentral:pre_miRNA from 1 species
UAUAUUUGUACCACGUCAAACUUGUUUAAGUUUGACCAACUCUAUAAAACAAUGUGCUAAGAUCUACAACACCAAAUACACAUAGUACAAAAAUAUAUUCCAUAAAGAAUCUCAAGAGACUAAUUUGGUGUUCUAGAUGCUAAUAUAGUUUUAUAGACUUGAUCAAAUUUAAACAAGUUUGAAUUGAGACAAACCCAG